CAAGGUUGUAAAGCCCUUUUCUUGGACGAAGAAUAAGUCGAKGAGUGGCACACUUCACUGAUGACGUUAGUCGAGGAAGAAGCCCCGGCCAAUUACGUGCCAGCAGCGCGCKGUAACACGUAUGGGGCGAGCGUUGUUCGGAAUUACUGGGCGUAAAGGGUGCGCAGGCGGCUUGAGCAAGCUUGGUGUUAAAGACCCCGGCCUAACCGGGGGGUGCGCUGGGAACUGCUGGGCUGGAGUUCAGGAGGGGAAGCUGGAAUUCCUGGUGUAGGGGUGAAAUCUGUAGAGAUCAGGAAGAACACCGGUGGCGAAGGCGAGCUUCUGGCCAUGGACUGACGCUGAGGCRCGAAAGCGUGGGGAGCGAACAGGAUUAGAUACCCUGGUAGUCCACGCYGUAAACGAUGUGCACUAGGUGUUGGGYUCUUACAGCCUCGGUGCCGURGCKARCGUGUUAAGUGC
rnacentral:rRNA from 1 species